rnacentral:ncRNA from 20 species
GGGUGUCGUCACAUAGGGUGUAGCGGCAGGUUGUGAGCGAAGGUCGGGCCGCCUCG